rnacentral:rRNA from 1 species
GACAGAGGGUGCAAACGUUGUUCGAAAUUACUGGGCGUAAAGCGCGUGUAGGCGGCCCUGCAAGUCGGAUGUGAAAUCCCACGGCUCAACCGUGGAAGUGCAUUCGAAACUGCAGGGCUAGAGUCCUGGAGAGGAAGGUGGAAUGCUUGGUGUAGAGGUGAAAUUCGUAGAUAUCAAGCGGAACACCGGUGGCGAAGGCGGCCUUCUGGACAGUGACUGACGCUGAGACGCGAAAGCGUGGGGAGCAAACAGG